rnacentral:rRNA from 1 species
AACGAACGCUGGCGGCAGGCUUAACACAUGCAAGUCGAGCGCCCCGCAAGGGGAGCGGCAGACGGGUGAGUAACACGUGGGAACAUACCCUUUACUACGGAACAACUCCGGGAAACUGGAGCUAAUACCGUAUGUGCCCUUCGGGGGAAAGAUUUAUCGGUAAAGGAUUGGCCCGCGUUGGAUUAGCUAGUUGGUGGGGUAAAGGCCUACCAAGGCGACGAUCCAUAGCUGGUCUGAGAGGAUGAUCAGCCACAUUGGGACUGAGACACGGCCCAAACUCCUACGGGAGGCAGCAGUGGGGAAUAUUGGACAAUGGGCGCAAGCCUGAUCCAGCCAUGCCGCGUGAGUGAUGAAGGCCUUAGGGUUGUAAAGCUCUUUCACCGAUGAAGAUAAUGACGGUAGUCGGAGAAGAAGCCCCGGCUAACUUCGUGCCAGCCGCCGCGGUAAGAC